rnacentral:rRNA from 1 species
AGCUUGCUCCUGGAUUCAGCGGCGGACGGGUGAGUAAUGCCUAGGAAUCUGCCUGGUAGUGGGGGAUAACGUCCGGAAACGGGCGCUAAUACCGCAUACGUCCUGAGGGAGAAAGUGGGGGGUCUUCGGACCUCACGCUAUCAGAUGAGCCUAGGUCGGAUUAGCUAGUUGGUGGGGUAAAGGCCUACCAAGGCGACGAUCCGUAACUGGUCUGAGAGGAUGAUCAGUCACACUGGAACUGAGACACGGUCCAGACUCCUACGGGAGGCAGCAGUGGGGAAUAUUGGACAAUGGGCGAAAGCCUGAUCCAGCCAUGCCGCGUGUGUGAAGAAGGUCUUCGGAUUGUAAAGCACUUUAAGUUGGGAGGAAGGGCAGUAAGUUAAUACCUUGCUGUUUUGACGUUACCAACAGAAUAAGCACCGGCUAACUUCGUGCCAGCAGCCGCGGUAAUACGAAGGGUGCAAGCGUUAAUCGGAAUUACUGGGCGUAAAGCGCGCGUAGGUGGUUCAGCAAGUUGGAUGUGAAAUCCCCGGGCUCAACCUGGGAACUGCAUCCAAAACUACUGAGCUAGAGUACGGUAGAGGGUGGUGGAAUUUCCUGUGUAGCGGUGAAAUGCGUAGAUAUAGGAAGGAACACCAGUGGCGAAGGCGACCACCUGGACUGAUACUGACACUGAGGUGCGAAAGCGUGGGGAGCAAACAGGAUUAGAUACCCUGGUAGUCCACGCCGU